CUCAGUUCAGAUUGUAGGCUGCAACUCGCUUACAUGAAGUCGGAAUUGCUAGUAAUCGCGGAUCAGCAUGCCGCGGUGAAUACGUUCCCGGGCCUUGUACACACCGCCCGUCAAGCCAUGAAAGCCGGGGGGUGCCUGAAGUCCGUGACCGCGAGGGUCGGCCUAGGGUAAAACUGGUGAUUGGGACUAAGUCGUAACAAGGUACC
rnacentral:rRNA from 1 species